CUUCACACUCUUUCCCCUCCA
rnacentral:miRNA from 1 species